rnacentral:rRNA from 1 species
CAAAAGGGCUUGCCUAGUAGCGGCGAGUGAGCGGCAAAAGCUCAAAUUUGAAAUCUGGCGCCUUCCGUGUCUCAGUUUUAAUUUCAAUAUAGUUGCCUUGGGGUUGGCUCUUGUCUAUGUUUCUUUGGACAGGACUAUCCAGAGGGGUGACAAUCCCGUGCGAUGAGAUGCCCCCUUCUAUGUAAGGUGCUUUUUAAAAGUCGAGUUGUUUGGGAAUGUGCAUCUCAGUGGGUGGGAAAUUCCAUCUAAAGCUAAAUAUAGUGGAGAGACCGAUAUCGAACAAGUACACCGAUGGAAAGAUGAAAAGAACUUUGAAAAAAGAGUGAAAAAGUACGUGAAAUUGUUGAAAGGGAAGGGUUUGAGAUCAGACUCGAUGUUCAUUGAGCCUUGCCUUCUUGGCGGGGUGACCCUUUGAACUAUCGGGCCUCCAUUUUGUUGGGCGGUAAGAUAAUGGAAUAAGAAGGUGACUUUACUUCUGUGAAAUGUUACUGUCUGCUUUGAUGCUGCCUGCCGAGACCUACGACUGCCAUUUUAUCCGGAUGCUGGCAUAAUGAUCCUUACCGCCCGACUUGAAGGACUUUACCAGACCCGUCUUGAAACACGGACCA